AUACAAUCCCGUCAAAGAGACAAAGGCAUUGUUCCUAACAGACAACACAGUAAAGGCACAUAAUGUAUGUUUAAAGAACCAAAACCUAAUUUCUCCUUUAAACCCUUGGAAAGGUGGCUAAUGACUACGUCUCUGAGUGAUAAAUUACAAAUUACAUGAGCCAUUAAUUAUGAGCCGUACAAGCUGCUGGAGGCCGUUAAUCAUUCACACUUGCACGUUUUCGCGUCAGGCAUUAAACAUAAGGGACCUAAUAUUCACUUCAAACUCAGAAGUUGUU